AGUGAACGCUGGCGGCGUGCUUAACACAUGCAAGUCGAACGAGGACGGAAUAUAGCUUGCUAUAUUUGUCAGCUAAGUGGCGCACGGGUGAGUAAUGUAUAGAUAACCUGCCCUUAAGAAAGGAAUAACAGUUGGAAACGACUGCUAAUGCCCUAUAUGCCUUUAAUACAUAAGUAUGCAAGGGAAACGCUUUAGUGCUUAAGGAUGGGUCUGUAGGGUAUCAGCUUGUUGGUGAGGUAAUGGCUCACCAAGGCUAUGACGCCUAACUGGUUUGAGAGGAUGAUCAGUCACACUGGAACUGAGACACGGUCUAGACUCCUACGGGAGGCAGCAGUGGGGAAUAUUGCACAAUGGACGAAAGUCUGAUGCAGCAACGCCGCGUGGAGGAUGACACAUUUCGGUGCGUAAACUCCUUUUAUAUAGGAAGAUAAUGACGGUACUAUAUGAAUAAGCACCGGCUAACUCCGUGCCAGCAGCCGCGGUAA
rnacentral:rRNA from 1 species